rnacentral:lncRNA from 1 species
GGGAGGUUCGUCCAGAAGGAGACCUUUAAAUGUGUGGGCCAGACAACUUGCCCUCAUUUCUUUAUUUCUGAUCUAGAGCAGGCCAAGGGACAGAGCUUGAGGUUUGUGCAAAUCAUGUCAGUUUUGCUUUUUUUAUUUUACUUAUGUGUGUACGGGAUCAAAUGAAUGUAAAACGAACUAGUGAAACAUCCAAUGAAUUGAUUGUGUAGUAUUUUAGUCUGAGGAGCUGGUUGUUUUUGUUUGCAGCUGUUGCGGUGGGUGAAGGUCAUCAGGCUCUCUGGGCUCUGUGGUUGUCUGCUUUUCCAGCUCUGCUGGGGACUUCGCCGCUGUUUUCGGAGAAGGAAAGCACUGACUCCAGGAUCUGUAAGCCUGCUCCACAGUGGGAGAUCGAAGGUUGGGAGACCUGCGUGACAAGCUGGCCCUUGGCAAGCUGACUAACAUAUCAUUCCUGGUUGUCAACGAGC